rnacentral:rRNA from 1 species
GAGUUUGAUCGUGGCUCAGAUUGAACGCUGGCGGAAUGCUUUACACAUGCAAGUCGAGCGGCAGCGCGGGGCAACCUGGCGGCGAGCGGCGAACGGGUGAGUAAUGCAUCGGAACAUGUCCAUGUCGUGGGGGAUAGCCCGGCGAAAGCCGGAUUAAUACCGCAUACGCCCGAGAGGGGAAAGCCGGGGACCGCAAGGCCUGGCGCGAUUGGGUUGGCCGAUGUCCGAUUAGCUAGUUGGCGGGGUAAGAGCCCACCAAGGCGAUGAUCGGUAGCUGGUCUGAGAGGAUGAUCAGCCACACUGGGACUGAGACACGGCCCAGACUCCUACGGGAGGCAGCAGUGGGGAAUUUUGGACAAUGGGGGCAACCCUGAUCCAGCCAUUCCGCGUGAGUGAAGAAGGCCUUCGGUUGUAA